ACGGGUGAGUAACACGUGGGCAAUCUGCCCUUCACUCUGGGACAAGCCCUGGAAACGGGGUCUAAUACCGGAUAACACCGGCUUCCGCAUGGGAGCUGGUUGAAAGCUCCGGCGGUGAAGGAUGAGCCCGCGGCCUAUCAGCUUGUUGGUGGGGUAAUGGCCUACCAAGGCGACGACGGGUAGCCGGCCUGAGAGGGCGACCGGCCACACUGGGACUGAGACACGGCCCAGACUCCUACGGGAGGCAGCAGUGGGGAAUAUUGCACAAUGGGCGAAAGCCUGAUGCAGCGACGCCGCGUGAGGGAUGACGGCCUUCGGGUUGUAAACCUCUUUCAGCAGGGAAGAAGCGAAAGUGACGGUACCUGCAGAAGAAGCGCCGGCUAACUACGUGCCAGCAGCCGCGGUAAUACGUAGGGCGCAAGCGUUGUCCGGAAUUAUUGGGCGUAAAGAGCUCGUAGGCGGCUUGUCACGUCGGGUGUGAAAGCCCGGGGCUUAACCCCGGGUCUGCAUCCGAUACGGGCAGGCUAGAGUGUGGUAGGGGAGAUCGGAAUUCCUGGUGUAGCGGUGAAAUGCGCAGAUAUCAGGAGGAACACCGGUGGCGAAGGCGGAUCUCUGGGCCAUUACUGACGCUGAGGAGCGAAAGCGUGGGGAGCGAACAGGAUUAGAUACCCUGGUAGUCCACGCCGUAAACGUUGGGAACUAUGUGUUGGCGACAUUCCACGUCGUCGGUGCCGCAGCUAACGCAUUAAGUUCCCCGCCUGGGGAGUACGGCCGCAAGGCUAAACUCAAAAGGAAUUGACGGG
rnacentral:rRNA from 1 species